UACAGAGACUGCGAGCGUUAUUCGGAUUCACUGGGCGUAAAGGGUGCGCAGGCGGCCGUGUGUGUGAGGCGUGAAAGCCCGGGGCUUAACCCCGGAAUUGCACCUCAAACUACACGGCUAGAGCAUUGGAGAGGGUAGCGGAAUUCACGGUGUAGCAGUGAAAUGCGUAGAUAUCGUGAGGAACACCAGUGGCGAAGGCGGCGACCUGGGCCAAUAUUGACGCUGAGGUGCGAAAGCGUGGGGAGCAAACAGG
rnacentral:rRNA from 1 species